AUUGAACGCUGGCGGCAGGCUUAACACAUGCAAGUCGAGCGGAGAUGAGGUGCUUGCACCUUAUCUUAGCGGCGGACGGGUGAGUAAUGCUUAGGAAUCUGCCUAUUAGUGGGGGACAACAUUCCGAAAGGAAUGCUAAUACCGCAUACGCCCUACGGGGGAAAGCAGGGGAUCUUCGGACCUUGCGCUAAUAGAUGAGCCUAAGUCGGAUUAGCUAGUUGGUGGGGUAAAGGCCUACCAAGGCGACGAUCUGUAGCGGGUCUGAGAGGAUGAUCCGCCACACUGGGACGGAGACACGGCCCAGACUCCUACGGGUGGCAGCAGUGGGGAAUAGUGGACAAUGGGCGGAAGCCUGAUCCAGCCAUGCCGCGUGUGUGAAGAAGGCCUUUUGGUUGUAAAGCACUUUAAGCGAGGAGGAGGCUACCUGGAUUAAUACUCUAGGAUAGUGGACGUUACUCGCAGAAUAAGCACCGGCUAACUCUGUGCCAGCCGCCGCCGUAAUAC
rnacentral:rRNA from 1 species